GCUGUAGCUCAGUGGUAGAGCAUGUGCUUUGCAUAAAAAAGCAAGGGUCCCAGGUUAAUCCCUGGUGUCUCCG